rnacentral:rRNA from 1 species
GACGAACGCUGGCGGCGUGCUUAACACAUGCAAGUCGAACGGAAAGGCCCUGCUUUUGUGGGGUGCUCGAGUGGCGAACGGGUGAGUAACACGUGAGUAACCUGCCCUUGACUUUGGGAUAACUUCAGGAAACUGGGGCUAAUACCGGAUAGGAGCUCCUGCUGCAUGGUGGGGGUUGGAAAGUUUCGGCGGUUGGGUAUGGACUCGCGGCUUAUCAGCUUGUUUGUGGGGUAGUGGCUUACCAAGGCUUUGACGGGUAGCCGGCCUGAGAGGGUGACCGGCCACAUUGGGACUGAGAUACGGCCCAGACUCCAACGGGAGGCAGCAGUGGGGAAUAUUGCACAAUGGGCGGAAGCCUGAUGCAGCAACGCCGCGUGCGGGAUGACGGCCUUCGGGUUGUAAACCGCUUUCGCCUGUGACGAAGCGUGAGUGACGGUAAUGGGUAAAGAAGCACCGGCUAACUACGUG